GGCUCCUUCGGCCGUCCGUCCUCUCCUGAUGGGGUCUUGACAAUAGGUUCUAAAAGAAGGAAUUUCGCAAACAAAAGUUGAUGCUUAUAGUUUGCUAAAUCAGCUGAUGCUUUUGUAUCUUAUGUUGAUUUCAGUCCAUUUCAUCCUUUGUGAGAAGACUGGAGGAGGGAAAGAGCUCCAGUCCAUCAGUUCCAUCUUUAGGUACUUCUAUGUUGCCAAACCGCGGAGCAACUUUUUCGGGUGGAAGUGCAUCAGAGACACCUUCUCAACGUGAUGCAUGGCUCCGUUGGCGCGACGGAGUGAUGACACUGCCUCUUGCCUGGCCGUGUAGCCUCCGCCGACUUUUUAUCCGCCGAUGCUACCAUGUCCAUCCCUAUGUCGCCUCACCUUCUUACGUCCACAAUCUGACAGAAGUCAAGGCCACCGCGCCUCUGAUCCAGCAUCUAUUUUUUUGUACUGUGCUUGUGACCAUAGUGUAAAAGUUUAAUUUUUAUUCGAAUUACUAUGAUCGUCCAUAGCCUUGCUGUGUAAAUUGCAUUUUUGGUUGUAGAAUUAUCCCUGCCUGCCAAACAGAUGAAUAAAUGGAGAGUAUUGGUG